UUAGAUCAAGACCCAUGACGCAUUAAGAAUUUGCACGAAUAAUAGAGGAUCUUACAAGAAAUAAUGUUUCGCAUGCCGCACUGUCGUUGGUUUUGUCCACGGAGUUGCCCAUGAAGCGAAGCUACAUGACACCUUUACAUGUGUCGCACGACGGAAUAUCUAUUCUAGAUAUUCCUCGGUAUGGACAAAAGCUUUGGGAGAAUGGGAACCACACGGUGCCAACCGCCAGUGUGUAGAAUACUAUCCCCUCUUUCCUUUGUUAGCAUGUGAGUGACUAGGAACUAGUAGGCGAAUUACAAACGGGGCUUCCAGAAGAUUGCUGCAAUCUAGGAAGCAUGGUUAUCCUUUAACAAAUUUCCUUAUUUUUUUAUUUUAAAUCAUAUCUACUUGUCCCGGAGAUAUUCGCACCGACAAGAUUUUUGGACACACGACAGUUUGGUUAUUGAUAAUUUUUAUUUUGCGGGGUUUACUCGAAGUACUCGGACGAUGAAUUGCGUCGUUGGUUAGCGUUUGGAGUGCUAAUGUGGCUAUUGUACCUUUUGUCUCGCCUCGCGGGUCUACCAUCAGUGCAGUGCAAUCUACGAACACACAUGGACCGGAUGUUGUAUGGGUGAUGUUGAAUUGUGUUGCAAUGGGGGCUAACCAUACACAUGGACUGAAAAGAGAGAUGGUCUUCCUAAUAUCCGACAGAAGGAGUCGGGUAGGGCCGUCCGUGAUCGAAAUCAGUGCCUCAACGAGUCUCAACUACUCCUCCAACUCAGAUUUUGUUGGUCUGUCCUGGGUGCAUGGAAAGCUACCUCGGUCGGGAAGGAGAUGGUUCUACAGAAGAGAACCGGGCGCUCGGAGAUGGUUUCGAGAUCAGUGUAUGGCGGCCAGAUCCAUCAUGGGUUCCCCCGUGCUUCAAAAUCUCAGGAACGAUAGGCGACUUUGAUGAGGAAACCCACCGAGGCAAUCAAGCAAGAUUCAUCAUGAACAAGACGAAAUGCUUGGGCAUGGUGAUGGGGAAGGACGCAUUGACACUUCCCACAUCUAUUGACUCUGCUUGAAUGAGCAGCUUAUCUAUGUCUACAGUUCGAGCUCUUUCUGGAUCAUGCUGCUAAUUAUUAUGAACUGUAAUAAGUUUAUCAAAGAAAAAAGAGAACUUUAUGGUUGUUUUUGGUGA